rnacentral:rRNA from 1 species
UACAGAGGUCUCAAGCGUUGUUCGGAUUCAUUGGGCGUAAAGGGUGCGUAGGUGGCUUGGUAAGUUGAAGGUGAAAUCUCGGAGCUCAACUCCGAAACUGCCUUCAAUACUGCUGGGCUUGAGGAUUGUAGAGGAGAAUGGAAUUCACGGUGUAGCAGUGAAAUGCGUAGAUAUCGUGAGGAAGACCAGUGGCGAAGGCGAUUCUCUGGGCAAUUCCUGACACUGAGGCACGAAGGCCAGGGGAGCAAAC